rnacentral:lncRNA from 1 species
AGAUUAUAUUUUUCAUUUUCGUUUCCCUCGAGCAAUUCAUUAAACAAUUCGCAUAAUCAUACAAUAAACAGUAAUACUUACAUCAGGUGGGACAGUACAAAAACAGACGAUUUCACUCAGGUGUUGACAAACGAUACAGGUAGCUCAUUACAACAGUUAAAUGAUAUUUUGAAUAGUAUUGAAAUUGACACAGCCACCAGUGAAAGUG